rnacentral:rRNA from 1 species
UACGUACUCCACGAGUGGUGUCCUCUUAUAUUGGGCCUAAAACGUUUGUAGCUGGCUGUACAAGUCUCUGGUGAAAUCGGGCCGCUUAACGGUUCGAAGUGCUGGAGAAACUGUACGGCUCGAGACCAGUAGACGCGCAGGGUAUUCCAGGGGUAGCGGUGAAAUGCUAUGAUCCUUGGAGGACCUCCAGUAGCGAAGGCGCUGCGCGAGGAUGGUUCUGACAGUGAGAGACGAAAGCUGGGGGAGCGACCCG